rnacentral:rRNA from 1 species
UCNUCAGGCCUAACACAUGCAAGUCGAACGCGAAAGCCCCUUCGGGGGUGAGUAGAGUGCGCACGGGUGAGUAUCGGGUAGACAACCUGCCCUUUGCUGGGGAAUAACCACGGGAAACCGUGGCUAAUACCGCAUAUUGUCUUAACCAGGCAUCUGGAUUAGAUGAAAGCCUUCGGGGGGCAAAGGAAGGGUGUGCGUCGGAUUAGGUAGUAGGUAGGGUAAAAGCCUACCUAGGCGACGAUCGGUAGCUGGUGUGAGAGGAUGAUCAGCCACANGGGCACUGACACACGGUCCAGACUCAUACGGGAGGCAGCAGUGAGGAAUAAUGCGCAAAGGCCGAAAGUCUGACGCAGCCACGCCGCGUGGAGGAAGACACCCCUAUGGGGCGUAAACUCCUUAGGUGUGAGAAGAAUAUCCGGGUUGCCCGGCNUGAC